CUUAGAGCAAGCUGCAUUCUUCUUCCUGGAAUAUCGCAGCCCCUGCUGCACAGCCCAGCUAUGAAGAGGCUGCAACCAGUCCAUGGACACAUUCUCACUCUGACCCUCACCAGCUGUGCGAGCUGUGACGAGUCACUUCACGUCUCUGGGCUUCCGUUUGCCUCCUGUGAAGCAUGUACAAUUCCUGGCCACCCUAGCUGUGUUCCCCAGACCACUGACACCGACGUCCUUUGAAUGGUGCACGUUCUGAGACCUGCCCUCAAACUAAGGAGUCAGAAUCUGCAUUUCUGCACCAUCCCCGGGUGACUCCUGGACAUGCAGAGUUUGAGAACAGUUUCCGGUGAGAGUUAAAGGGAAUGGCCUGCCCACCGCAGGGCCCCCCUGGAGGCCAGCAGUGGCUCCUGGUGCUGCUGGUGCUGAGAUAUCUGCUGCCCGUAGGUCCUUUGCAGAAUGAAACGAUCAACACCAGGUGGGCUCCCCCAGCCCCUUCAGCUCGCUGCCUGGCCUCUGCUGUUUCUGGACAUUUCAAGCUGAUGUGUGCCCCAGGCCCUUGGCCCUAGCUUUCACUCCAUCCGUUGUUCUUUCUGGAGCUCUCCCCAGAGUUGCCUACUCCUCUUCA